rnacentral:rRNA from 1 species
UACGUAGGGGGCAAGCGUUGUCCGGAAUCAUUGGGCGUAAAGCGCGUGUAGGCGGUCCGGUAAGUCGGCUGUGAAAGUCCAGGGCUCAACCCUGGGAUGCCGGUCGAUACUGCCGGACUAGAGUUCGGAAGAGGCGAGUGGAAUUCCAGGUGUAGCGGUGAAAUGCGUAGAUAUCAGGAGGAACACCGAUGGCGAAGGCAGGUCUCUGGGCCACUACUGACGCUGAGAAGCGAAAGCAUGGGGAGCGAACAGG